UACGGAGGGAGCUAGCGUUGUUCGGAAUUACUGGGCGUAAAGCGCACGUAGGCGGCUUUGUAAGUCAGAGGUGAAAGCCUGGAGCUCAACUCCAGAACUGCCUUUGAGACUGCAUCGCUUGAAUCCAGGAGAGGUGAGUGGAAUUCCGAGUGUAGAGGUGAAAAUUCGUAGAUAUUCGGAAGAACACCAGUGGCGAAGGCGGCUCACUGGACUGGUAUUGACGCUGAGGUGCGAAAGCGUGGGGAGCAAACAGG
rnacentral:rRNA from 1 species